CCAGGGCAGCUCAGUGCCCAGGUGAGCAGCACUGACAGCCAUGAGGUGCCCAGGUGAGCAGCACUGACAGCCAUGGAGUGCCCAGGUGAGCAGCACUGACAGCCAUGGGGUGCCCAGGUGAGCAGCACUGACAGCACUGAGCCAUGGAGUGCCCAGGUGAGCAGCACUGACAGCCAUGGGGUGCCCAGGUGAGCAGCACUGAGCCAUGGGGUGCCCAGGUGAGCAGCACUGACAGCACUGAGCCAUGGAGUGCCCAGGUGAGCAGCACUGACAGCCAUGGAGUGCC